GGGAGACAGAACUGGAGCAGGUGCAGUGACAGGGAAGAGACAUCUGGUGCCUCUGAUCGGGCUUCAUUUGUGUCCAACAUCAGAAGGGUGCUCUCUUUGUAAAGCCUGCCAGGACAAGUUGACCCCAGCGAGAGGAACAGAAGACAACUGGAGGAAAGGGAUGGCCCGUUGGGGCUGGACACAGACCGACUGGCUUUCCUCUGAGGUGGGAGUGAGGAGACUCCUGUUUCUGGGAGUUUCAUCCCAGGAUCAGCCACUGGGUUCGGCAGCACCUGUCUGGGGGGCAAGCCCGGAACGAGUCUCCAGCCUGACCUUCUCUGAUGAGCAGCCUCCCUCCUUAAAGAGGGAGUUGAGUCACCUGUUCUCAGCAGGAAGUGCUCUGGUAGAGGUUCAGACUCCACGUCUAAGGGAGAGAUUCUCAUAAGACUCGGGAACCAAGAAUGGGAUUCCGGGCAUUCGUGAACCCUUUAGAUGGUGUGUAAAAUUACCUAUGCACAUGUA